rnacentral:misc_RNA from 1 species
UAAUGCUGAAGUAUUUAAAUUGUUUUCAAUAGCAGCUCCUUCAGAUUAAGAAUAUUGCUAUUAAACAUUAACUUCUUUACAGCUUUGAAUUCAAGCACUUGUAAAAACUGGAAGCAAGAGGACACAGGAGCCUAAUAAAUGUAAAAAUUGCCAAAAAUAGCAAUAACAAUACGAAGUUGGGAAUUUCACUAAAGCGCUAUUUAAAAAACUGACUUAUUAACUUCAUACUUGAUCUAUAUACAUCAUAUUUUUUGCAAGACUAAUCUAGGAGAAUUAAACAGCACAUGGAGUGUUAGGAGGAAGAAAAAGGCUUUGGAAGAUAAGUGGAUGGUUACUGUGUGUCUAAAACAACUGCUGCUACAGCAAUAACUGCUGUGAACUCCUUCAGUAACAGCUGGCUAGAGAAGAGUAUUAUGAAAGUUUGAUCAGAGAACACAUAAUCACAUUUUUACCACUACAUAUAACCGUCAGAUCAUUAAAGAAAUGUGACCUGUAGAAAAAUUACAUAUUGAAUUGCAAGGACUUAUUUUUCAUAGCUCUGCAUUAUAAGAAAACGUUUCUGAUCAGUUCCUUGCAUUUUGAUUUUUUCAUAUGCAAUCUCAUUUAGGAAUUCUAAGGAAAUUGUGAAGGAAGGGACUCGGCUAGGAAGACUAUGAUGAUAUGAACUGUGACUAGAACAAUGUGCAAAGUAUUGUUUCUUGCAUUGGAAACAUAUCCAGUCAUGUUCUCUUAAAAUUCCUGAAUUUAUUUAGUCUAAGGAAUAGUCCAUUUGUGUUGACAAAAGUAAGAACUGGAACAUAUAAAUUUCUCACAACAGUUUAACUUGAUAGAAUAUUUAAAAGGCAGUGGAGGUUGUUAUUCAGCUUCCUUUAUUAGCAGCUCCCUUUGUGCUUCUUACAUCUGUGAAAAAGUUAUCUUUAUAAAUUUGAAUUUCUAUGUGAAAUUAAAUGCUUAAUCUGUUCUUACCACUUAACUGUAAAAGCUUGGAAUGUUAUCAUUUAUCUUCAUGUUUGCAACUAAGUUGGAAAUAAUAUAUACUGUUUAAUGGAAAUACAGUUCUGUCUAGGCAGUUUGAAGAAAACCAUUAAAUCUGCUUCAUUUAA